UGUGUGUGUGUGUGUGUGUGUGUACAAUAUAAACCAAAUACAACCAGAUCCAUUAACACUUGAUGAAUUUAGGUGAAACUCUCACUUACGUAUGGAAAAUCCCAGAAAGAUCUGGAGCUGGAACAGAGGAUUCUGCUUGUAUUCCAUGGGCUUAUUAUUCAACUGUGGAUCAAGUUAAGGACCUCUACAGUGGAUUAAUUGGCCCCCUGAUUGUUUGUCGAAGACCUUACUUGGAAGUAUUCAAUCCCAGAAAGAAACUGGAAUUUGCCCUUCUGUUUCUAGUUUUUGAUGAGAAUGAAUCUUGGUACUUAGAUGACAACAUCAAAACAUACUCUGAUCACCCCGAGAAAGUAAACAAAGAUGAUGAGGAAUUCAUAGAAAGCAAUAAAAUGCAUGCUAUUAAUGGAAGAAUGUUUGGAAACCUACAAGGCCUCACAAUGCAUGUGGGAGAUGAAGUCAACUGGUAUCUGAUGGGAAUGGGCAAUGAAAUAGACUUACACACUGUACAUUUUCACGGCCAUAGCUUCCAAUACAAGCACAGGGGCGUUUAUAGUUCUGAUGUCUUUGACAUUUUCCCUGGAACAUA
rnacentral:sRNA from 1 species